rnacentral:rRNA from 1 species
UACAUGGGGUGCAAACGUUGCUCGGAAUUAUUGGGCGUAAAGCGCGCGUAGGCGGUUAUCUAAGUCGGAUGUGAAAGCCCUCGGCUUAACUGAGGAAGUGCACCCGAAACUGGAUAGCUAGAGUACGAAAGAGGGUCGCGGAAUUCCCGGUGUAGAGGUGAAAUUCGUAGAUAUUGGGAAGAACACCGGUGGCGAAGGCGGCGACCUGGUCCAUUACUGACGCUGAGGCGCGACAGCGUGGGGGAGCAAACAGG